CCACCAAAAGUUAAUUUUGAGGGUAAGGUUUUUAAUAACCUUUACCAAUUUAGGCUGUUUGGGAGACUAAAAGACCACACUCCACAGUGAACUAUACCAUUUAGUAUAGUUCAUUACUAUUUUGUGGCUACAUC
ensembl:snoRNA